GACGGGGGGGGCAAGUGUUCUUCGGAAUGACUGGGCGUAAAGGGCACGUAGGCGGUGAAUCGGGUUGAAAGUGAAAGUCGCCAAAAAGUGGCGGAAUGCUCUCGAAACCAAUUCACUUGAGUGAGACAGAGGAGAGUGGAAUUUCGUGUGUAGGGGUGAAAUGCGCAGAUAUCGGGAGGAACACCAAUGGCGAAGGCAGCUCGCUGGGACGGUACUGACGCUGAGGCGCGAAAGCGUGGGGAGCAAACAGG
rnacentral:rRNA from 1 species